rnacentral:rRNA from 1 species
CCCUAGUAACUGCGAGUGAAGCGGGAAAAGCUCAAAUUUAAAAUCUGGCGGUCCUUGUGGCUGUCCGAGUUGUAAUCUAGAGAAGUGUUAUCCGCGCUGGACCGUGUACAAGUCUCCUGGAAUGGAGCGUCAUAGAGGGUGAGAAUCCCGUCUUUGACACGGACUGCCAGGGCUUUGUGAUGCGCUCUCAAAGAGUCGAGUUGUUUGGGAAUGCAGCUCAAAAUGGGUGGUAAAUUCCAUCUAAAGCUAAAUAUUGGCGAGAGACCGAUAGCGAACAAGUACCGUGAGGGAAAGAUGAAAAGAACUUUGGAAAGAGAGUUAAACAGUACGUGAAAUUGUUGAAAGGGAAACGCUUGAAGUCAGUCGCGUUGGCCGGGGAUCAACCUUGCUUUUGCUGGGCGUAUUUUCCGGUUGAUGGGUCAGCAUCAAUUUUGACCGUUGGAUAAAGGUUAGGGGAAUGUGGCAUCUUCGGAUGUGUUAUAGCCCUUGAUUGCAUACAACGGUUGGGAUUGAGGAACUCAGCACGCCGCAAGGCCGGGUAUUUAUACCACGUACGUGCUUAGGAUGCUGGCAUAAUGGCUUUAAUCGACCCGUCUUGAAACACGGACCAAGGAGUCUAACAUGCCUGCGAGUAUUUGGGUGGAAAACCCGGAUGCGCAAUGAAAGUGAUAGUUGAGAUCCCUGUCGCGGGGAGCAUCGACGCCCGGACUUGAUGUUUACUGACGGUUCCGCGGUAGAGCAUGUAUGUUGGGACCCGAAAGAUGGUGAACUAUGCCUGAAUAGGGUGAAGCCAGAGGAAACUCUGGUGGAGGCUCGUAGCGAUUCUGACGUGCAAAUCGAUCGUCGAAUUUGG